UCAUAUUCUUCUUUCUUAAAAGAAAAAAAAAACAUUUCAGUAUUUAUUUUUUUUUCGAAUGCAAGUGUCUUUCUUGAGUGUUAGGAUUUCAGUGGGUCUGAGUGUUGUUUCCACCGAUGCAAAAAGGUUGUUUUAUCCUAUGGAAGACAAGGUUGUAACAACUGCUAGCACUUAAAGCAGAGCCGCGAAACGUCUUAAAGAAAACGAGUUUCUUGACUCAGCCCAAUCGUUUCAGAUCGAGUUUAACGAGUUUCUGUUAUGCAGGUUUUUCCGCUCAACUCUUAUUUCACUGUAAGUACAGUCAAAGGGCAGAAGGCAAAGUAAAAAUUGUAGAAAGAAUCCAUGAAAGUAUGCACUUUGAUAACUAUCAUCUUCAAAAGGUUUAAGAAGCAAAUCGAUGCAGGAUUUGUCCUUGAUUUCACCUCGAUUAAGAGGAGGAUUAUCAUCGAUUUUCCAAAUUUUGUUACGAGCAAACCCGUGUUCCUCAAGGUUUCCAUGAGCCCCAAACUAGAUACAUAACGAAACAAGUCAAUAUAUAAAGGCCACAAACAACCCAAAAAACAAAUCUUCAAAACUAGUUACAUUAGGUCAUAUGAAACAUAUGACGGCAGAGAAUUAUCUUCAUAGAUAAGUAUUACACACCUGCGGAAAACAAAUUGGAAUUCCUCCUCUCACAGCUUUUGGUGCCUACAACGGAGAAGAAAGGAAAUGGUUGAGUGUUUAAUUUUUUAUUCAUUUUUUGCCUAAUACAUGUUAGCAAUUGUGAGAAUCGAGACUGGACCAGAAUAAUUAAGAAAAUCCAUAAGGGUUAAUCUAAGCCAUCAAAUGAAACCAGAGCAGAUAAACAAUUGACAUUGAAACAAGAGACGAAGAUCAGCAUACAACGUCUUAUGCUUCAAAACUAUCAUUUGCAUUUUACCAAUACAAUUCAAACUCUUGUUUAGAUGAAGAGAGAAUAGUUCUACUAAGAGUAGAGUAUCAUUUUAAAGGUGCUUUUGUUUAUGCUUUGGCUUUGGGUAAUUGAAUAACUACAAGAUGAGAUUACCUUAGAACUGGUAAACAAUAAUUCUUCACCUCUUUCAAUUUUUCAAGACAGAACUUGGCCUCCAUGCAAGCUAACCUGGAUUGUUGAUACAACAAAAGAGAAACAUCAAGAAGAAGAACAGUUAUUACGUCUAAUAUUUCUUGUUGUAGUGAUGUUGUAAUUUACUUGUUGGGGUUUUCUUAAAUUAAAAAGAAACGAAAUUUACAGAUUAUAGUAGUA